UACGUAGGGGGCAAGCGUUGUCCGGAAUCAUUGGGCGUAAAGCGCGUGUAGGCGGCUCGGUAAGUCCGCUCUGAAAGUCUAGGGCUCAACCCUGGGAUGCGGGUGGAUACUGCCGGGCUCGAGUCCGGAAGAGGCGAGUGGAAUUCCCGGUGUAGCGGUGAAAUGCGCAGAUAUCGGGAGGAACACCAAUGGCGAGGGCAGCUCGCUGGGACGUGACUGACGCUGAGACGCGAAAGCGUGGGGAGCAAACAGG
rnacentral:rRNA from 1 species